rnacentral:pre_miRNA from 1 species
GAUUUCAAUUGAAAAAGUCAUCAACAUCAAAGUUGUAUAACUCAUCAAUAUUUAUAACUUUUAUUUUGGUCAUUUUUUCAUCCGACAAAAUAGUAGUAAAUUGUUUACAAAAUUUACAUCUCUCUCUCAUAGUUUAUAAACUAUGUAACAGAUGUGUACAUUUUGUGAACAAUGUUACAAAUCUCUUUGUCGGAUGAAGAAAUAACCCAAAUAGAAGUUAUAGAUCUUGAUGAGUUAUACAACUUUGAUAUUGAUGACUUUUUCAGUUGAAAUC